AUAUUUCGGGUAUGCCAAAAGAAGUUACGACUACCAUAUAUCACAUGAUUAUGAUAAUGAGUUUAUGAAGUGUGUUCAAAAUAAUUAUUACUUAAGAGAAUUGAGAUCAAGAAAUUAAUUAUGCGGUGAAAGGUUAAAUAAGGAAUUUAUUUGUGGUAUUAGUUUGGGCUACGGACAGGUGUUUUUGGAAACUAACGUGUACACACAUAAAAAGGGGUCAACUAAUGACUAAGGUACAUAUAAAGUGAAUUGCUUUACACGUUAUCAAAUCCACUAAGUAGAUGAAAAUUUUCUCUUUCCACUAAUUUGUAUGGUAUUUAUCUUCUUCAUAUUAAACAAUUAUGGAUCAUUUGCCAAGUACCUUCUCCAUAGCUGGAACGUCCUUGCCCAUACUCAAAUGGAGGAGAAAAUAUUCUCAAACCACAGCAACGUUAGCUACAAUAUUAAAGAAGCAAGCAAAUCAUUUUUUUUUCUUCUUCAAGAACAACAUACGGAUUUGUGCACCGCUUCAGUUUCGUUGUUCCGUUUUAUUGCGUUGUUGAAUUCGGGCUAUUCUUCGAAGGGAAGUAAAGUGGAAGAAGAUCAUUUCUUGAUAUAUAAGGCUAAAGGAGCGACGGAGUAAGCUUGGUUACGGUUGAUCUACGACAGGUACAGAGGUUCGUGAUCCGCCAGUAUAGGCCACAUAUUCAGCUAUCACAGAGUGCUCCUUUUGAUUCGGAGCCCAUAUGUUGGUACAUAUCUUUUAUGGUGUAUAUGUCUCCGUAUAUUUGACUGUUUGGGGUACGGCGGGGCCCUGUCCCGUCAUAUGAUUCCGAUAUCGUUUGUAGAGGCCUGUAGUCAUAUAUGUGGGUCAUGGGUCAUGUGUGUGUUUGUUUGGGUAUGACCUGCGUCUUAGUGCGGUCCCGUUUGCUAUUAUGGCCAAAACGGCCCAUUUGUCUAUAUACGUGUAUGUAUCUGGCGAUGUACAUUCCGCCAACCUAUCAGAUUUGGAUACGGCCAGAAUGGCCUGUAUAUUUGUAUAUGUGCAUAUAAUCGGCGAUGUAUAUUCCGCCGCCUCUUUUGGUUUUGAUAUGAUAUUUUGUGCGCGAAAUCGCGUAAGAUAAUAUUUGUUUUUCGCUCUGUUUAAAAUGAUGAAUAUGAAAUCUGAGUUAAGUUAUUAUAUGACGAUUUGGCUUGUAUGUCUAUUUGGGUGUCCAAGUACGGCACCAGUCGCGACCCACGGGGUUGGGUCGUGACAGAAGUGGUAUCAGAGCAGUUUGUCCUCGGAAUGUCUACAGGCCGUGUCUAGUAGAGUCUUGUUUAUCGGUGUUUUGUGCACCACAUCUAUAAACAGGAAGCUACAGGACAUUUAGGAUGUUACCUUUCUUUCAUAUCUCAGAUCGUGCGAUAGAGCCCAGCCAUAGGAAAUGAAAUUCCUUUUACUAACCCUUGAUUUUAGCUGAAGAACGGUGUCGACAGAAGAAAGUGACUGAUGAUAUUGGAAGCUACACAGUACACAGGUAAGCAAUGGUAUGAAAGAUGUAUGUCGGGUAAGGUAUUUGAAGUACAAUUGAAAUAUAAAGUUGAAGGAUGAAAAAGAAGGUGGAUAGGAAGGUAUAACAGGACAAAUCGUUAAAGGAUCAGGUACGUCUCGAGGUGUAAUAUGUGAGGUAAGUCCCGAUACCCUUAUACUUUUUUUUUUUGGAAAUUGGGAGCCCUGUGUGGCUAUGAUAUGAUACGAUAUAUGCGUAUAUAUGUUGGCCUUGUGAGGUAUUGUUGGUAUUUCCUGCGUGCAGGUUUUGAGAUAGUAAGAAAUACAGAAGAAACUCUGCCAAAAUUUUCCUAGAAAUUAAUUAAAACUGUGAGAUAAAUAUUAUUUGGACAAAUGCCCUGUAAGUUAUCGACAUGUAACAAUGAGGUCCCAUAAUUUAAGACAGAAAAGUAUGACGAUGAUGAUUGGAGAUAAUAUUGAUGUGUGCAUUAAGUGGCUAUGGACUAAUGUUACAACACAUGAUUAUGAUAAUGAGUACACGAAGUGUGUUCGAAGUGAUUCAUUAUUUAAGUAAAUUGAGAUCAUGAGAUUAAUUAUGUGUGUAAGGAUUAAAAGGGGAUGAGUAAUUAAUUACCAAAUUAUUAUGGGAGACAAAGUGGAUGAGUGUAAAUCCACAUGGCAUCAUGAUGUUUAUAUCAAUAUAUAAUUAUUGAUAGGUGUUAAUUUAUUUAGUGGACACGUUUGGAAGAGAAUGCUUUGUAACCAUGAAUGUGUCAAUUAUGUGGGCCCAUUUAAAUCUCUACAUAUAUGAUCUUACCAUUUCAUUGUUGAUGGGACCAAUAUGGUCAGAGUUUUCCCACAAAUAAUCCACAAAUUCUCAAAGUGAAGGGGCAACCAGUAGAAUAAAAUGAAUCGACCAGAUACACCUCAUAUAGAUAUAUAUUUUGGGGCUAGUCACGAGAUUUUUUUUUUUAGAGGAAAUAGACACCUAGCUUGUUGUUGUACACGUUUUAGUCUUAGGAAAUGACACAACAUUUUCCACUUGACUUCUAUCCUUAAUGGAGCCUUGACUGGAAAAAAAAAACAAAAGGAAUACUUUGCUCGUUUGAUCUUGGGAUUCAAAGAGGAUAUGUUUAUAUCCCCCAUUACAGUAGCUUUGGAGGUUUAAGAUGUUAGAUAAGUAUGAAAUGGGAACUUAUCUUUGCUAUCUAAAGGUGAGGAUGAAAUGAUACUUUCUUUAAUAUCUUAAGGAUUACUUUCGAAGUUCACUUGUGCUCAUUUUGGAGAAGAAAACAAGGCAAACUGAUGCCUUUUAGUUGUGAUGAGAAUCUGGUAUAUAUAUUCCCCUAUGGGGUCACAAAAUAUAAUGGAAGAGUUUAAGAUAUUUUGUCCAAUAAAGUGGGUCAAGCAUUAACAUUAAAGAUGCUGGGAAUCAACCACUGCAACACCAAAUUUGUAGAAUUGGAUUUUAUUUUCAUGGUUUUACUUCCAAGAGUUUAAAUUAUUGGAGAAUGCUUCAUACUCAAGUAAAGUGAUGGAGAGUUCGGAAGAGUGCAACAAAAGCACGACUCAUCAUCUAUGACUUUCUAUUAAAUCGUACGAGCAUCUAAGAUUAAAGUGUUGCUAGAGUUAGCCCUUUGAGUUGCCGAACAAAUGACAGGUGGAGAAUGGCAUUAGGCUAAGUAAAGAAAGGCACAACAUGAUAGAUAAGUUCGAGUUACAAUUGAUUCGUUAUAAGAUUACCAUAAACAGUAUACUUAUGCAAGACAAAUUUAACAUUCGGGGACGAAUGUUCUAAAGGAGGGAAGGAUGUUAGAUCCCGUAUUUUCAUACGUUGGAAAGUGUGCUAGUGAAAUGACAUUAGUAAGGGACACGAGGUUAUCCCCCAAGCUUAUAGGUGGUUAAAGUGAUGGAACACAUUUAUGUAAGGAUUUGAAGUUAAACCAAUCGAAGAAAAUAAAUUUUGUCGAGUUUCAACAUUUAUUGGAGUAAAAUACGGUCCAAGCUAUAAUACCUCGUAUUUCUUUUUGCUUAGAACAUUUAAUGGUCCAACAUGAGUAAAUUUACCCGAGUUCGGAAAUUUGGUCAUAUUCAAAAAAAAAAAAAAACGAAGGUGAGAUUGGUGUAUAAAAGGAUGAGGUCCUGAAAUGAUUUAGGACUUAAAAGUGUGAUGACGGUGUUUCGAAAUAAUAUUUCGGGUAUGCCAAAAGAGGUUAUGACUACCAUAUAUCACAUGAUUAUGAUAAUGAGUUUAUGAAGUGUGUUCAAAAUAAUUAUUACUUAAGAGAAUUGAGAUCAAGAAAUUAAUUAUGCGGUGAAAGGUUAAAUAAGGAAUUUAUUUGUGGUAUUAGUUUGGGCUACGGACAGGUGUUUUUGGAAACUAACGUGUACACACAUAAAAAGGGGUCAACUAAUGACUAAGGUACAUAUAAAGUGAAUUGCUUUACACGUUAUCAAAUCCACUAAGUAGAUGAAAAUUUUCUCUUUCCACUAAUUUGUAUGGUAUUUAUCUUCUUCAUAUUAAACAAUUAUGGAUCAUUUGCCAAGUACCUUCUCCAUAGCUGGAACGUCCUUGCCCAUACUCAAAUGGAGGAGAAAAUAUUCUCAAACCACAGCAACGUUAGCUACAAUAUUAAAGAAGCAAGCAAAUCAUUUUUUUUUUCUUCUUCAAGAACAACAUACGGAUUUGUGCACCGCUUCGGUUUCGUUGUUCCGUUUUUUGCGUUGUUGAAUUCGGGCUAUUCUUCGAAGGGAAGUAAAGUGGAAGAAGAUCAUUUCUUGAUAUAUAAGGCUAAAGGAGCGACGGAGUAAGCUUGGUUACGGUUGAUCUACGACAGGUAUGUAGAGCCUACCUUUCCUUCUUUUGGCAUGACCUUUAUGGAAUGAACAAAUAAUGUAUACGUAUGCUUCUAAAGAAAAUUCUAUUCUUAGCGCCACUAGGAUGGCCGAUGUCUUUGAUUUCCAUGAGUAUUCCAUGUGGUUUGAUAUGUAUAUAUGAUGUUCGAAAAUUCUAGUUGGUAUAUUUCCGAAUGUGUUCGAAAGAAGAUUGAUAUGGCGUAAGUCUUUGAUAAAUAUUUUGGUACGUACAUAUGAUUCCAAAGUCUCCAUUUGGUUUGUUCCAUAAUGAUAAAUGAAAGCUACCUAAUAUGUUUGUUACUUGAAUUUCCAAAUAUGGCUUAUGAAAUAUUUUUAGAAGGUUUUGCACUUCAAAAGCGCGCAACUUUCUUAUACUAAUUCCGAUUGACCCGAAUCUUAUUUUUGAGCCUUCCGGUGUUGGAAAAUGUAAUUGUCCAUCGGUUUUGAAAUUUAUUUAUGUAUUUAUAUGCAUAUGGUUUCCUCACUACUCCGCUCGUGCAUGCUACUAUGAUAUCGUUCGCCGGAUCCCGGGCCGGUUUUGUGAUCGUGCGCACUAUGAUAUAUUCGGCCGUAUGCUGUGUUACGGUUCCCGAGACCUCGCCAUAGGGCCGGGUACCGUUUAUGGAGUUAUGCUGUGAUAUGGCUUACGAUAUGAUUUGAUGAUGUGAUAUGUUAUGUUCGGAGAUGUACGGAGAUUUGAAACCUUCUGGAGUUAUGCUGUGUGUGGCACCAGCGUCGGAGUGGUGACCACGUUCCUGAGCCUUAUGCAUGAUUUUUACUUGCAUGAUAUAUAUAUAUACAUAUGCUUUCAGCACAAACUCUGAUGUACUGAUUCGGUACAGAGGUUCGUGAUCCGCCAGUAUAGGCCACAUAUUCAGCUAUCACAGAGUGCUCCUUUUGAUUCGGAGCCCAUAUGUUGGUACAUAUCUUUUAUGGUGUAUAUGUCUCCGUAUAUUUGACUGUUUGGGGUACGGCGGGGCCCUGUCCCGUCAUAUGAUUCCGAUAUCGUUUGUAGAGGCCUGUAGUCAUAUAUGUGGGUCAUGGGUCAUGUGUGUGUUUGUUUGGGUAUGACCUGCGUCUUAGUGCGGUCCCGUUUGCUAUUAUGGCCAAAACGGCCCAUUUGUCUAUAUACGUGUAUGUAUCUGGCGAUGUACAUUCCGCCAACCUAUCAGAUUUGGAUACGGCCAGAAUGGCCUGUAUAUUUGUAUAUGUGCAUAUAAUCGGCGAUGUAUAUUCCGCCGCCUCUUUUGGUUUUGAUAUGAUAUUUUGUGCGCGAAAUCGCGUAAGAUAAUAUUUGUUUUUCGCUCUGUUUAAAAUGAUGAAUAUGAAAUCUGAGUUAAGUUAUUAUAUGACGAUUUGGCUUGUAUGUCUAUUUGGGUGUCCAAGUACGGCACCAGUCGCGACCCACGGGGUUGGGUCGUGACAGAAGUGGUAUCAGAGCAGUUUGUCCUCGGAAUGUCUACAGGCCGUGUCUAGUAGAGUCUUGUUUAUCGGUGUUUUGUGCACCACAUCUAUAAACAGGAAGCUACAGGACAUUUAGGAUGUUACCUUUCUUUCAUAUCUCAGAUCGUGCGAUAGAGCCCAACCAUAGGAAAUGAAAUUCCUUUUACUAACCCUUGAUUUUAGCUGAAGAACGGUGUCGACAGAAGAAAGUGACUGAUGAUAUUGGAAGCUACACAGUACACAGGUAAGCAAUGGUAUGAAAGAUGUAUGUCGGGUAAGGUAUUUGAAGUACAAUUGAAAUAUAAAGUUGAAGGAUGAAAAAGAAGGUGGAUAGGAAGGUAUAACAGGACAAAUCGUUAAAGGAUCAGGUACGUCUCGAGGUGUAAUAUGUGAGGUAAGUCCCGAUACCCUUAUACUUUUUUUUUUUGGAAAUUGGGAGCCCUGUGUGGCUAUGAUAUGAUACGAUAUAUGCGUAUAUAUGUUGGCCUUGUGAGGUAUUGUUGGUAUUUCCUGCGUGCAGGUUUUGAGAUAGUAAGAAAUACAGAAGAAACUCUGCCAAAAUUUUCCUAGAAAUUAAUUAAAACUGUGAGAUAAAUAUUAUUUGGACAAAUGCCCUGUAAGUUAUCGACAUGUAACAAUGAGGUCCCAUAAUUUAAGACAGAAAAGUAUGACGAUGAUGAUUGGAGAUAAUAUUGAUGUGUGCAUUAAGUGGCUAUGGACUAAUGUUACAACACAUGAUUAUGAUAAUGAGUACACGAAUUGUGUUCGAAGUGAUUCAUUAUUUAAGUAAAUUGAGAUCAUGAGAUUAAUUAUGUGUGUAAGGAUUAAAAGGGGAUGAGUAAUUAAUUACCAAAUUAUUAUGGGAGACAAAGUGGAUGAGUGUAAAUCCACAUGGCAUCAUGAUGUUUAUAUCAAUAUAUAAUUAUUGAUAGGUGUUAAUUUAUUUAGUGGACACGUUUGGAAGAGAAUGCUUUGUAACCAUGAAUGUGUCAAUUAUGUGGGCCCAUUUAAAUCUCUACAUAUAUGAUCUUACCAUUUCAUUGUUGAUGGGACCAAUAUGGUCAGAGUUUUCCCACAAAUAAUCCACAAAUUCUCAAAGUGAAGGGGCAACCAGUAGAAUAAAAUGAAUCGACCAGAUACACCUCAUAUAGAUAUAUAUUUUGGGGCUAGUCACGAGAUUUUUUUUUUUAGAGGAAAUAGACACCUAGCUUGUUGUUGUACACGUUUUAGUCUUAGGAAAUGACACAACAUUUUCCACUUGACUUCUAUCCUUAAUGGAGCCUUGACUGGAAAAAAAAAACAAAAGGAAUACUUUGCUCGUUUGAUCUUGGGAUUCAAAGAGGAUAUGUUUAUAUCCCCCAUUACAGUAGCUUUGGAGGUUUAAGAUGUUAGAUAAGUAUGAAAUGGGAACUUAUCUUUGCUAUCUAAAGGUGAGGAUGAAAUGAUACUUUCUUUAAUAUCUUAAGGAUUACUUUCGAAGUUCACUUGUGCUCAUUUUGGAGAAGAAAACAAGGCAAACUGAUGCCUUUUAGUUGUGAUGAGAAUCUGGUAUAUAUAUUCCCCUAUGGGGUCACAAAAUAUAAUGGAAGAGUUUAAGAUAUUUUGUCCAAUAAAGUGGGUCAAGCAUUAACAUUAAAGAUGCUGGGAAUCAACCACUGCAACACCAAAUUUGUAGAAUUGGAUUUUAUUUUCAUGGUUUUACUUCCAAGAGUUUAAAUUAUUGGAGAAUGCUUCAUACUCAAGUAAAGUGAUGGAGAGUUCGGAAGAGUGCAACAAAAGCACGACUCAUCAUCUAUGACUUUCUAUUAAAUCGUACGAGCAUCUAAGAUUAAAGUGUUGCUAGAGUUAGCCCUUUGAGUUGCCGAACAAAUGACAGGUGGAGAAUGGCAUUAGGCUAAGUAAAGAAAGGCACAACAUGAUAGAUAAGUUCGAGUUACAAUUGAUUCGUUAUAAGAUUACCAUAAACAGUAUACUUAUGCAAGACAAAUUUAACAUUCGGGGACGAAUGUUCUAAAGGAGGGAAGGAUGUUAGAUCCCGUAUUUUCAUACGUUGGAAAGUGUGCUAGUGAAAUGACAUUAGUAAGGGACACGAGGUUAUCCCCCAAGCUUAUAGGUGGUUAAAGUGAUGGAACACAUUUAUGUAAGGAUUUGAAGUUAAACCAAUCGAAGAAAAUAAAUUUUGUCGAGUUUCAACAUUUAUUGGAGUAAAAUACGGUCCAAGCUAUAAUACCUCGUAUUUCUUUUUGCUUAGAACAUUUAAUGGUCCAACAUGAGUAAAUUUACCCGAGUUCGGAAAUUUGGUCAUAUUCAAAAAAAAAAAAAAACGAAGGUGAGAUUGGUGUAUAAAAGGAUGAGGUCCUGAAAUGAUUUAGGACUUAAAAGUGUGAUGACGGUGUUUCGAAAUAAUAUUUCGGGUAUGCCAAAAGAGGUUAUGACUACCAUAUAUCACAUGAUUAUGAUAAUGAGUUUAUGAAGUGUGUUCAAAAUAAUUAUUACUUAAGAGAAUUGAGAUCAAGAAAUUAAUUAUGCGGUGAAAGGUUAAAUAAGGAAUUUAUUUGUGGUAUUAGUUUGGGCUACGGACAGGUGUUUUUGGAAACUAACGUGUACACACAUAAAAAGGGGUCAACUAAUGACUAAGGUACAUAUAAAGUGAAUUGCUUUACACGUUAUCAAAUCCACUAAGUAGAUGAAAAUUUUCUCUUUCCACUAAUUUGUAUGGUAUUUAUCUUCUUCAUAUUAAACAAUUAUGGAUCAUUUGCCAAGUACCUUCUCCAUAGCUGGAACGUCCUUGCCCAUACUCAAAUGGAGGAGAAAAUAUUCUCAAACCACAGCAACGUUAGCUACAAUAUUAAAGAAGCAAGCAAAUCAUUUUUUUUUCUUCUUCAAGAACAACAUACGGAUUUGUGCACCGCUUCGGUUUCGUUGUUCCGUUUUAUUGCGUUGUUGAAUUCGGGCUAUUCUUCGAAGGGAAGUAAAGUGGAAGAAGAUCAUUUCUUGAUAUAUAAGGCUAAAGGAGCGACGGAGUAAGCUUGGUUACGGUUGAUCUACGACAGGUACAGAGGUUCGUGAUCCGCCAGUGUAGGCUACAUAUUCAGCUAUCACAGAGUGCUCCUUUUGAUUCAGAGCCCAUAUGUUGGUACAUAUCUUUUAUGGUGUAUAUGUCUCCGUAUAUUUGACUGUUUGGGGUACGGCGGGGCCCUGUCCCGUCAUAUGAUUCCGAUAUCGUUUGUAGAGGCCUGUAGUCAUAUAUGUGGGUCAUGGGUCAUGUGUGUGUUUGUUUGGGUAUGACCUGCGUCUUAGUGCGGUCCCGUUUGCUAUUGUGGCCAAAACGGCCCAUUUGUCUAUAUAUGUGUAUGUAUCUGGCGAUGUACAUUCCGCCAACCUAUCAGAUUUGGAUACGGCCAGAAUGGCCUGUAUAUUUGUAUAUGUGCAUAUAAUCGGCGAUGUAUAUUCCGCCGCCUCUUUUGGUUUUGAUAUGAUAUUUUGUGCGCGAAAUCGCGUAAGAUAAUAUUUGUUUUUCGCUCUGUUUAAAAUGAUGAAUAUGAAAUCU